rnacentral:sRNA from 1 species
GCUGGGUAUGGUGGCGCAUGCCUGUAAUCCCAGCAGCUCAGGAGGCUGAGGCAGGAGGAUUGCAAGUUCAAAGACAGCCUCAGCAAAAAAGCAAGGUGCUAAGCAACUCAGUGAGACCCUGUCUCUA